UACGUAGGGCGCAAGCGUUGUCCGGAAUUAUUGGGCGUAAAGAGCUCGUAGGCGGCCAGUUGCGUCCGCUGUGAAAUCCCGGGGCUUAACCCCGGGCGUGCAGUGGAUACGGGCUGGCUGGAGGCAGGCAGGGGAGAACGGAAUUCCUGGUGUAGCGGUGAAAUGCGCAGAUAUCAGGAGGAACACCGGUGGCGAAGGCGGUUCUCUGGGCCUGUACUGACGCUGAGGAGCGAAAGCGUGGGGAGCGAAUGGG
rnacentral:rRNA from 1 species